ensembl:lncRNA
GGGGGGGGGGGGGGGGGGGGGGGGGGGGGGGGCAGCUUGGGGGGGAGGUGAUUUGGGCACUUUAUUCUGAGGGGUGGUGUGGGAUUUUGAGGGGGGUUCCAGGUGGGAGUGGAGUCUGUUCUCGCAGGGGGAGGAGGACUGUGAGACUUGGCAGGGAUUAUUUUGAGGAAGGGGCUCAGAGCUCUGCCUUGGGGGUGCCCAAAAUAGUUGUCUUUUUUCGAUUUGCAAACGAGAUUGGGGGGGUGAUUAAAGUGAGGAGGCAGUAUAAAAUUGGAUUUUUUUCUUGGAAGGCUUUCAGGAAAGGUGUUCACCAAAGCCCACCCCCACAGGGGUGAGGGCAUUUUUACAUCUUCUGGGACAUUGGUGCCAUUUCACAGGGAGUUGAACCUUUCCCUUGGCCCGGGGAGGCUUUUCCAAGGAAAAACUACUUUUGGUGGAGGAGGAGGAGUCUUGUGGAGGAUUUCUGGGCUCGCUGCCUCCACGAGGAAUCCAGCAGCUCCUGUCUGUGGUGAUUCCCACGUGGAUCAGGUCGUGGUGCAUUCCUGGGUGACGAAAGUGCCUCCCACAGCACGGGCAGAGAGGGAUUUGGGGUGAUCCUGUUGAGCCAGGAUGAGUUUGGGGGAUCCUGUUGGGUCAGGAUGGAUCCUGUUGGGCCAGGAUGGAUUUGGGAUUGUUCUGUUGGGUCAGGAUGGAUUUGGGAUUGUUCUGUUGGGUCAGGAUGGAUUUGGGAUUGUUCUGUUGGGUCAGGAUGGAUUUGGGAUUGUUCUGUUGGGUCAGGAUGGAUUUGGGAUUGUUCUGUUGGGUCAGGAUGGAUUUGGGAUUGUUCUGUUGGGUCAGGAUGGAUUUGGGAUUGUUCUGUUGGGUCAGGAUGGAUUUGGGAUUGUUCUGUUGGGUCAGGAUGGAUUUGGGAUUGUUCUGUUCAUGUUGUGUCAGGAUGUAUUUGGGAUGAUCCUGUUGGGUCAGGAUGGAUUUGGGAUGGAUCCUGUUGGGUCAGGAUGGAUCCUGUUGGGCCAGGAUGGAUUUGGGAUGGAUCCUGUUGGGUCAGGAUGGAUUUGGGAUGGAUCCUGUUGGGCCAGGAUGGAUUUGGGAUGAUUCUGUUGGGUCAGGAUGGAUUUGGGAUGAUCCUUUUGGGUCAGGAUGGAUUUGGGAGAUCCUCUUGGGCCGGGGUGGAUUAGUUGAGGUGGUGCUAGGGCAUGGGUUGGACCCAAUGAUCUUAAAGGUCUCUUCCAACCUUGUGGUUCUGGGAUUUCUGUGGUUCUGUGAUUCCGUGAUUUCUGUGACUGUGAUCCCAUGAUUCCAUGACUCUGUGAUUCCGUGAUUUCCAUGACUCUGUAAUUUCAUGAUUCCAUUAUUUCCAUGACUCUGUGAUUCCAUGAUCCCGUGACUCUGUGAUUCCAUGGCUCCAUGAUCCUGUGACUCCAUGACCCCUGACUCUCUAAUUCUGUGAUCCCAUGAUUCCAUGACUCUGUAAUUCCAUGACCCCCGACUCUGUAAUCCCAUGACCCCCUGACCCUGUGACUCUGUAAUUCCCUGAUCCCAUGAUUCCAUGAUUUUGUAAUUCCCUGAUCCCAUGACCCCUGACUCUGUAAUUCCGUGAUCCCAUGAUUCCAUGACUCUGUGAUUCCAUGAUCCCUGACUCUGUAAUUCCAUGAUCCCAUGAUUCUGUAAUUCCAUGAUUCCAUGACUCUGUAAUUCCCUGAUCUGCCCCUGAGCAUCUUGCUCACAGCACUGACGUGUUGUGACUCAAAGUGAUGAUAUUUGAUGCACUCAAACCAAAAUCCAGUUCCU